GGCUGGUUUGAGUGCAGUGGUGUUUACAGCUAAUUGAUCACAACCAGUUACAGAUUCCUUUGUUCCUUCUCCACUCCCACUGCUUCACUUGACUAGCCUUUA
rnacentral:Y_RNA from 1 species